rnacentral:rRNA from 1 species
UACAGAGGGGGCAAGCGUUGUUCGGAAUCACUGGGCAUAAAGGGCGCGUAGGCGGCUUAUCAAGUCAGGGGUGAAAUCCGGCAGCUCAACUGUCGAAGUGCCUUUGAUACUGAUGAGCUCGAGGGAGGUAGGGGUCUGUGGAACUUCCGGUGGAGCGGUGAAAUGCGUUGAUAUCGGAAGGAACGCCGGUGGCGAAAGCGGCUUACUGGGUCUCUACUGACGCUGAUGCACGAAAGCCAGGGUAGCGAACGGG